rnacentral:lncRNA from 1 species
GGACUCGCUAGUGGCCCUGAGUCUGGAGACGAAAGGUUUGCGAUCGGUGACCUGCCCGGCUUUCAUCCGCCUCUCAGUUCACUCUAAAGGUCCGGCCUGGCGCCAGCGACCAGUGAGAUCUCUCCUGGAUCCCAGAAGCCGAGGCCAGGCUAGGGCGGACCCCACUGAGACCUCAGCAUCCCUGGGGAUCAGCCACUAUAGCCCGGGUCCUCACUACCUACGGGGAGGACUUGGCUCUUCGCCUGUGAAACUCCCGAGUUUCAAAAGGAGUCAUCUACACUCGGGCGUUUAAAGCUGUUCAUGUACUGUGCUCUGGCGUAGAGAGGUUAAACAAAUUGACGAAUUGUGUUUGUAAAACUUUCCUACCUCCGACUGCGGCUGUAAAGUGGUCAGGGCGCACUGUACUGUUAGGACAGCCGACCUUAGGAUUCUUUUAUAGCGACAGUAAACCUCUUGAGUUUCAUGCCACGUCUUUGUAGCCCUAAAUCUAUUUUCGAUGUAAUUACUAGGUUCAAUCCCUUUGGCAGUUUGUGCAAAUCAAGUUAAAGGAAAAACUGCCAAACCUGAGAAGGGUUUGGAGAAGUAGAAGGGCGGGUCUUAUGAGAAAACAUUAUCCAAAAACGGUAUCGUAGGUCUGUCCAGUAUUAUUUAAAAUAAACAGUAACCAUACGCAGUGAGUAAGCCAGGUUUAGACAGAAUAUUCCCCGCGCCCAAAUACGUUGUCUCAACUCCUACGGGGACAGUAAGUCCCAGUAGGUCCUCCCACCCACAGCCCCAAGCUACCUUCCCUUUUUCCUGAAAAAAAAAAAAAAAAAAAAAUGUGUCCUCAGCCAGUUUCUCCCAUUCACGUCACCUUUUUGUUCCUUCACCUUUCUGGUCAUUCUUUGCCAACUGACUUUAAAUGUCCUUUGUAAAUUAAAUGGUUAUUUAACUCAGAAGGUUAAAUCCAAAAAGCACAAAGCUGUGCGUACAGGCUCUGCCUGUUCGGCUAGUUGCUCCUGUCCCUGCGGAGAUUUUUUUUUUUUUUUAAAUGGGGUAAGAUGUGAAGCUUCGUUGGGGAGGUAGUCAGUGGGCACAGUACUUGAGGACAAAUUAGAAACUGGCAUCUGGGAGGCAGAGGCAGAUUCCUGGAGGCUUCCUUGCCAGUGAGCCUCGCCACAUGGGCAAGCAAAUGGGUAAGUGCCUAGGUCCCAAUAAGAAGCCUUGCCUCAGAAACAGUGUGAGGGCCCAGCGAAUGGCUCAGUGGGUCAACAGCUUGCUGAGCUAGCGUGAGGACCAAAGUUCAAAUCCCAGCACUCAUGAGCACCAAGUACAUUCCUGUAAUAGCAGCCUUAGGAAGCUAAGAAAGACAGAUCCUGGAAGCCUGUGAAACAGUUAAAGAGGAUGCCUGAGGUCAACGUCUGGCCUCUACAAGUUCAUGAACAGUUUUGGAAACAGGGUUUAUCCUGCCUCUGCCACAAGCUGGGACUAAAGGCGAG